UACAGGGGGGGCAAGCGUUGUUCGGCAUUACUGGGCGUAAAGGGUCUGUAGGUGGCCAACUAAGUCAGACGUGAAAUCCCUCAGCUUAACUGGGGAACUGCGUCUGAUACUGGAUGGCUCGAGUGUGGGAGAGGAAUGCGGAAUUCCAGGUGUAGCGGUGAAAUGCGUAGAUAUCUGGAGGAACACCGGUGGCGAAGGCGGCAUUCUGGACCACAACUGACACUGAGAGACGAAAGCCAGGGGAGCAAACGGG
rnacentral:rRNA from 1 species